rnacentral:misc_RNA from 1 species
AAAACUGAAACAUUACACAAGAAGUAAACUGCAUUUAUUUAGAGAAAUUGCUCAUAUCAACAAUUGAUUAAAAAAGGAAAAAGAAAAUUUAUGGAGCCUUGUGAAAGUAAAAUGGCAGAAUUCUUUGGCAAUCUUUUGGAGUUGGAAGGUAAAACUCAGUACACCUCCAAGAAGUGGUAAUAACAACAUUGAACUUGCAAGAAUUUCACAUCAAAUCACUCUUUCAUCAUAAAGUAAAUACCAAAGGAGGCAUAACUUACAUGUCCAGUCUUGAGUUGCUAAGAGAAUUAUAAGACAAAUCAUCAUUUUAAUUCUUAAUAUAUAGUACAUUCAUUUCAUUGAUGUCCUAAAACUAGUGAAAUGACAUUCUCCAACUAAUAAUGUAAUUCGUUGGUUAACAGUCUUGUUUUCAA